AGCACCACCACCCAUGCAGUUGCUGGGCCCAAGGCCUAGUAGUCAUUCUAAGUCCUACCCCUUCCCUUCCCACAGCCGACAACCAGCCUAUCAUAGGAUUUGUCCUCCCCAAUAUUUCUUGGAUCCAGUUGCUUUUUUCUUCUUCUUUUUAUUAAUUUAUUAAUUUAUUUUUGGCUGUGUUGGGUCUUCCUCUAGUUGUGGCAACUGGGGGCUACUCUUUCUUGCAGUGUGCGGGCUUCUCUUGUUGCGGAGCGCAGGCUUCAGUAGUUGUGGCACGUGGGCUCAGUAGUUAUGGCUCUCGGGUUCUAGAGCACAGGCUCAGUAGUUGUGGUGCAUGGGCUUAGUUGCCCCGCAGCAUGUGGGAUCUUCCCGGACUAGGGCUCGAACCAUGUCCCCUGCAUUGGCAGGUGGAUUCCGUGCCACCAGGGAAGUCCCCAGUUGCUUUCUUCUUCAUUGCCACUAUCCUCUACCUUAGUUUCCUAAUUUAUAAGAUACAGUAUUUGUGAGGUUUAAAUGAAUUAAUAUAUAAAAAAUGCUUAGAACAAUGGCUCGGCAGCUAGUAUGUGCUAUGUGAGUAUUAGCUAUUAUCAUCAUCCUUGUUACUGUCCCCUUCUUCCUCUUCUUCACGUUAGUCUACAUAAUCCACUCUCAUCUCUGUCUCCAGUCUUAAUCUUAUUCUCCCCUACCUCCAUUCUGUUCUCUACAUUGUAGCCAGAGUGAUCUUUAUAAAAUGCAAGAACGAUCAUGAUCUAACUCCUCUGCUUAAAAAAGCUUCAGUGAUCUUACCAUUGGGCUUUUGUAUGUGUGUAUUGUUAACCCUGCUUAGAAUGCUUUUUCCCUUGGUCUUUGAAUGGCUGGUUCCUUUUUAUUUAGAUACCUACUUUUAAAUGUCAUCUCCUCAGAGAGGCUUUCCCCUGACCACCUAAUGAUUAUAAAGUAACCACCCAUAUACAUAUUUUCUAGCAUAUCACCUAUUUUAGUUCUUUGCAUAGCACUUAUCAAUAAGUGAUAUUUUUCUAGUUUAGUCACAUACUUGUUUAUAGUCUCCUCCAAUUAGAACGGGAAUUCUCUGAGAACAGGGAUAUUGUCUAUUUCAUUUACUGUUAUAAAAACAUAGGACAAUGCCUGGCAUAUUGUAAGCACUAAGUGAAUACUUGUUAAGUGAAUGAUAAAACAGCUUCAUAUCUUAUGAGACCCUUCUUGGUCUCUCUAGCAUCAUCUGUGCCGGUAUUCUCUCUACCUUGACCUCCCCAGCUCAUCUCAUCUCUUCAGAUAUGCUUUCUUGCUGCAGGGCCUUUACAUACGCUGUUUCUUCUGCCUAGAACAUGCUUCCUUAAAUGCUCUGCCACUGCUUGGGUAUCUCCUGUUGAUCGUUCAAGUUUCAUCUUAGGUGUAACUUCACCUGACUGGCCUUCUUAAUCUUACAGCUCCGCAUGCAUUGCCUUUAACUAUCAUACAUGUUGGGAUUAUUUAAUUGUCUUUCUCCUUCAUUAAACUGUAAGUUCUAUCAGACAAAGGCCUAUGUGUUGCUCACCGUGUAUUCUUAGUCCUAGCUGCUGUGGGAUAGAAGGAUCCCUUGAGGUGGAGGUGGUGGGCAGGAGGGAUGGAAUACUAGGGAUAUCACCUGAGGGCUAAGAAGGUGUGCCUUAGAAUGUCAGGGGGAGGUCUAGACAUUUGACCUGGCUCAUUGUCAUUCUCCUUAUUCCACCUUUGGUGAUUCCAGUGUUUGCCUGGAUGAACCAACUAACAUACUUGGGAUGAACCAUCUAACAUGGCUUGUCUCUCUCUGGGACAUCUUCAUAAAGUAAGGGUAAGCCUGGCAGGGGACUUGGCUAUGAAGGGGGCAUGAGUGCCUAGGAUCAAGGUUGAGGAUCUGGAUAGGCAGAUUAUUUGUUCCGAGUGGCUGAUGGCAGAAUAACUGAGUGGAGUGCAGUCCUAAGCAAGGAAGGAAGCAAAAGACCUUAGGGAUAAGGUGAGGGAAAGAUGAAACAGGAAGCUAAAUCAUUAGGUCAAAAACCUAGAGAACCAGGAUAGUGGGUGGAGUAUAAGAAGGGACAGACAAGCAGUUCAGGAUUUUAAGGCCAUAAAUAAUCUUUGGGAUUACUAAAAUCAUCUGCCAGCAGUCUUAUUUCUUUAGUGUGGAACCAGCUUUUGGAUUAUAGGAACAAUCAGGUAGUUGACAUGUAAGAGUUUGAGCUAAAUUUUGUAUUGCUUUGUAUUUUAUGUGCUAUUUAAAGUCAAAUCCCCAGAAAUCCUACCUUACCUCCCCCAAUAACCCAAUUUAAUUUCUGCUCUGAAGAGCCUCCCUUCCCUCCUUUUAAAUAUACUGGGUUCAACUUGCUCAUAUUUUUAAAAAGUCUCCCGUACAGAGGCCUGUAGCAGUCUUGGUGCUCCCUUCAGGUAGGCGGAGGAUAUUCCCUUCAGGUAGGGUAGGCACUCCUUCAGGUUACCUCCUCCCACCAAACUAGGCAUGGGAGCUAGCCUCAGAAGUCCAGGACUCCCUGCCUAACCUGAACUUGUGGAAUUUCUCUCUGAAUUUUGGGGAGGGACAUGGGAGUGUAGAAUAUAGGUCGGGACUCUCUUGGUGAGGCAUAGUAAGGAGUAGUAGAAGACUGGCUGGGUAUGCAUGAUGGUAGGAUCUGAAGUUUCUGACCUGGAGUUGUCCUAGAGUUUAUGGCAGCAUUAGGGGUCUCUGAUGUGCCAAGCAGAGAAUCUUGGUGAGUAGGGCCGGUCAUUACCCCUUAGAGGUGUUCUGUAUGUUUUUCUACUUAGCCUGGCGCUCUUCUACAGACUGACCAGUAGCUGGCAUCAUGGUGGAUGCUGAAGGGGAAUCAUUGGGAUAGAAACAGUACUCACUGAGGAGGAGUGUCAUUCUCUUUUUGAUGGUUGGAUGGAGUGAUUGUGUGCACAUACUGGGCAGUCAAAGGCCCGGUAACCUGGCCUGUGUGAGGUGAAGCAUCUGCACUCCCUUCCUAGUGCUCCACUGGGGAAACCAACCUAAGGCAGCCGGAGAUCAUGGCCAUUGUUAGUGAUUUCCCCAGGAGUGCUCCCUGUCUUUGAUUCCUCUGCUCUCUAAUCCCCAUGCUCUGAUGUCCUGCCUUCUAUUUUCUGCUUUGGAGGCCUUCAAAUUUCAUAAUCCCUUCGGACUCCUUUUUCUAGUUUAUUUCAUGCCCAGCUUGACUCUUGGUUCUAUGUAGUCCCCUAAUUUCGACGUUGCCAUUCACCCUUAAGUGAGGGCCUUCCUCUAUUAGCCCUAUUCCUGGAGCUAUGGUUUUGAAGCUUUAAUACAUCAGAAUUACCCAUGGGGGCAAGUAUUGAGGGGCUCGCUACUUAUUUAAAAUUCAGAUUCCUGGUCUUUACUCCUGCUCUCCUGACUGAGUAGGUAUGGGUGGUAACCAGGAAUCUGCAUUUUGAUUGGCCUCCAGGUGACUCUCACACCAGUCAUCAUCUGCAGACCAUAUUUGAAGAAACUCUGACUUAGAGGACUGUGUUGACCCCCUGCUCCCCUAGAGGGAAGGAAAGGGUUUUUUUUUAAAAAAAUUAUUUAUUUAUUUUUGGCUGCGUUGGGUCUUUGUUGAUGUGCACGGCCUUUCUCUAGUUGUGGUGAGUGGGGGCUACUCUUCAUUGCAGCGUGCAUGCUUAUUGUGGUGGCUUCUCUUGUUGCGGAGCACGGGCUCUAGGCUCACGGGCUUCAGUAGUUGUGGCACGCGGGCUCAGUGGUCGUGGCACAGGGGCUUAGUUGCUCCGCGGCAUGUGGGCUCUUCCUGGACCAGGGCUCGAACCCGUGUCUCCUGCAUUGGCAGGUAGAUUCUUUUUUUUUUUUUUUUUUUUUUUUUGCAGUACACGGGCCUGUCACUAUUGUGGCCUCUCCCGUUGCAGAGCACAGGCUCUGGACGCGCAGGCUCAGCGGCUAUGGCUCAUGGGCCCAGCCGCUCCGUGGCAUGUAGGAUCUUCCCGGACCGGGGCACGAACCCAUGUCCCCUGCAUCGGCAGGUGGACUCUCAACCACUGCGCCACCAGGGAAGCCCAGGAGGCAGAUUCUUAACCACUGCACCACCAGGGAAGCCCCAAGGAAAGGGUUUUGAACCCUUUACUUGGAUCCUAAGGUCGCAGGAACCUUAAUCUGUCACCUGUCUUCCAUUGAGGACAGUGGAUAACUGUCCCUAUGUACUGACACCUCAUCUUCUCAUUGCCAUAGAAGGCAAAGAUCCCAGAUGAGGUAGAGGGCCUUAAUGAUUCCCCCUGGCAGGUCAGUACUUCUGGAGUAUACUGCGGACUUUGACUUUGGACUCAGAAAGCAGGCUAGAACACAGUCUUUGAAGGCUGCCAAUUGCACUUCAGAUUUGCCUCUGGGAUGCCUCUUUUUCUGUACACAGUGACCCUGCCCUAAAGUAGGCUGUUUUUUGGUCUCCAAGCUGUCGUCACUCCCUAUUGCAGCUGUCCUCUAAACAACUUCCACUAUCCUUCUAUAAAACAACCCAGCCUUGUCUCUCUCCUUUUCACAUCCUCUCUUGUAUUCCUGUUACCUGUACAAUCAAGUCCAAAUGUCUCAGGUUGGAAUAAACAGUCUUGCACAAUUUGACCCAAAUUGUGGCCUACAAGGCCUAGCAAGAUCUGGCCCCUGCCUGUAUUUUAAGUCUCAUUUCGAGCCCCUUUCCUCCUUAUCUCCUGCAUGCACCCUCACCCGCUUGCAGUUCUUUCAGUUCUCUGGCUUCAUGGACUUGGCCUAGAAUGCUCUCUACCCUGCUCUUCACUUCAUUAAUUAUCACUUGCCUUUAAGUUUCAGUUGAGCAUUAUCUUGUUUUGGAGGUAUUUUCUGGCCUCUCCAUACAAAGCAACACCAUGUUAUUAUCUUAGCAUCUGUUUGUUUCCGUUAGACCACUUAAUGCUUUUUACUGGUUUAGCUUUCCCUCUUACUGGAUUAUAAGCUCCAUGAGGGCAGGGACCUUCUUGCUCAUAGUUUUGUCUUCAGUGCCUAGUGAGUACAUAGAGGUACUCGAUAAGGAUUUGUUGACUAAAUUGCCUUUCACCUUCUUGUUAGUAAGCGUGUUGGUGCUUUGUGGCUCUGCAGAACUCUCACCCUCUGUGCAUGUGUUACCUCUGCCAGAGCACCGUUUCUCUCAUUGACUGGGCAGAUUCCUUCUUGUCCUUUACCACUUCUCUAAGCAAUUCUUUGACUUCCCCAGGCAGUGCUAGUUCAAUAGAGGUAGCACUUUGGUCCUCUUGAAUGGACUUUUCACCCUGUGUGGCGAUCUUCCCUAUGCAAGAGAUAGAUGGUAUUGCCCUUGGUUUACAGAUGACAAGACAGAGGCUCUGGGAGAUGGACUAACUUGGAAAUGGCAGAAACGGGAUUCAAACCCUGAUUCAGGUGGUCUGUACAGCCCUCACUCAUUCUAUUUCACUGUGCUUUCUCUAAAAGAAACCAAAUAGCAGACCCAGAGACAUUGGGUGAAAGAGGUGUUUUUUAUUUUUUUAUUAUUAUUUUUUUGCGGUACGUGGGCCUCUCACUGCUGUGGCCUCUUCCGUUGCGGAGCGCAGGCUCCACGCGCAGGCUCAGCAGCCAUGGCUCACGGGCCCAGCCGCUCUGCGGCAUGUGGGAUCUUCCCGGACCGGGGCACAAACCCGUGUCCCCUGCAUUGGCAGGCGGGCUCUCAACCACUGCGCCACCAGGGAAGCCCGAAAGAGGUGUUUUCUUAAAAAAAUUUCUUAAAUAAUGAAAGUGUGUGUGUGUGUAUAUUUUUAAUUUUCUCAGAGUUAAACACAGUAAAGGGUAGACAGUAGUUCCUCCUUAUCUGAGGUUUUGCUUUCCACAGUUUCAAUUACUUGAGGUCUGAAAAUAUUAAAUGGAAAAUUCCAGGAAUAAACAAUUCAUAAGUUUUAAAUUGCACACUGUUCUGAGCAGUGUGAUGAAAUCUUGUGCCAUCCUGCUCCUUCCCAUCCAGGAUGUGAAUCAUCCUUUGUUCAGCAUACCCAUGCUGUGUAUGCUAUAGGAAAAAACAGUAUAUAUAGGUUUCAGUACUAUCCAUGGUUCCAGGAUUUGGAACGUAUCCCACGUGGAUAAAGGAGGACGGCUGUACUAUUGACAAACCAUUUAUAAGGAUGAUGGAGUAAAGGGUGACCAUAAUAUUCAGAGGAUGGUGUGUAUUUCAUGUGCUCCCUUGAUCAUGCUGUUGGUGACUGCUUGUGACAAUGACAAAUCAACAUACAACCUAGUAGAAAUGAGCCAAGGCGAAACACUAUUAAAUUCAAACUAAAGCAAAUGUCAGUCAUCAUUUAUAGUUGCUUGGAGGUAUUAUGAAGAGUGAAAUCUAAACAUUUUUGUUGAGGGGGAAAAAUGUGCAAAAUCAGUGUGCAAAGCCUUUAACACAUUUUGCUUAAAAAUACAUCUUACUAUAUUGAUAAGGGACUAGUUGAGUAAAUUAUGGUGGAUAGCACCGUAUUAAUACAGCAGUUAAAAAGAAUGAGACAGGUACACCCACCCUCACACACACACACUCACACAGUGAUAUGGAACAAUCUCUAAGAUCUAUUGUUAAGAGAAAACUAAAGCAAGCAAAAUAGAGUUUGUGGCAUGCUAGUAUUAGUAUUUGAUUGAAAAAAGGGGAGGACUCUAUAUACUUGUUAUACCCAGACUACCCCUGGAGGUUUGUUUUUUUUUUUUUUUUUGAUAUCUUUUUGUGUUGCUGAAAUUUUUUUUAACCCAUGUGUGCAUUGCCUUUUUAAAAAAUUGUGAUUAAAAAACACAUAAAAUUUACUGUCUUAACCAUUUUUAAGUUCACAGUCCAGUAGUGUUAAGUAUAUUCAUAUUGUUGUCCAACAGAUCACCAGAACUUUUUCAUCUUGGACAGCUGAAACUCAUUAAACAGCAAUUCCUCAUUUUUCCUUCCCCUUUGCCCCUGAACCACUCUUCUACUUUCUGUUUCUAGGAAUUUGACUGUUUUAGACACCUCAUGUAAGUAGAAUCAUAUACUAUUUGUCUUCUUGUGUCUAGCUUAUUUCAUUCACUUAGCAGAAAGUCCUUGAGGUUCUUGUAUGUUGUACCAUGUGAUAGGACUUCCUCCUCUUUUAGGCUAAAUAAUAUUUCAUUUUUUGUUUGUACCACAUUUUGUUUAUAUCUGUUCAUCUGUCAGUAUAUUGCCUUUUAUAAUCUAUUUUAAAAAGUACUUUGCUUUACCCUGUGAACCUGAAAAGUUGAAUGUAAACGUUGUGUGUAUAUGGGGCAACAGGAACAUGGGUUGGGGGCAGGUUAAAUGGUAUCUCCCUAAACUUGACAGCAAAGAGAUCGUUUUUUUCUAGUGAAUGAUUGCCAACUUUAUGUAUUGAAUUUUUGCAUUUGAGAUUUUUCUUGAAGUGAAACAUAUUUCUACUAAGAAUAGAACAAAAAAAGAGGAGAUUGUGUUGAAAUUGAAGAUACCUAUGUGUACCGUGUGUCUAACAUCAUUUAUCCCUCCAUUUGUGUUGCUAGCACCACUCUUGCACUACAAAUCUUAGAGCCCCUCCACCUUUAUUGAAGUAUAGUUGAUUUACAAUAUUAUAUUAGUUUCAGGUGUAUAGCAAAGUGAUUCAGUGAUUUUUGCAGAUUAUACUCCGUUGUAAGAUAGCCAUUGUAAGAUAAUGGCUAUAAUUCCCUGUGCUAUGCAAUAUAUCCUUGUUGCUUAUCUAUUUUAUACAUGGUAGUUUGUAUCUGUAAUCCCUAAUUUGUCCCUCUCCUCUUUGGUAAUCACUAGUUUGUCUUCUGUAUCUGUGAGUCUGUUUCAGUUUUACAUAUACAUUGGAGUCCCCCUUUUCAAUAACAUGUUUCCUGUGUGUUGAUUUUGUCUUCCUAAACAGAGUAAAUUCUUGAGGGCAGGAGGCAUGUCUUAUGAUUAUAUCCUAUAGUGAUAAGCAUAAUAGAAGUUGCUCAAUAACUACAUAUUCAAGAAAGACAAGAGAGAAAUGGAUAAAGAGAGAAAGAGACUUCUCUGCCGAAGAGAUGAUUGCUUUGGUUUUUCUCUGAUUCACCUUGUACUCUUCCCUAGUGAAGAAUUUCUUCCACUUGCAGACUAAGGGCAUUGGAGGAUUUGUGUGUGUGUGUGUGUGUGUGUGUCUGUUUGUGUGUGUUUGUGUGUGAUGUUCCCUGCUGAAAGCCCAGGAGAGAAAGCAGAAGCUGGAAUGGGGCCUUGAGGCUGUGGCCUGAUAGUAUGCAGUGAGACUUCUGUGUUGUAGCCUCAAGGGAAGUCUUAGAUUUCUACCCUCUACCUAAUUUCAAGCUUGGGUAUUCAGCUGUCAGCAGGGCAGCUGGACCUGUACGUGCCUUAGGUGUCUUAAAUUCAGUAGCACAUAAUAGGAAUGUUUGAUAAAAGUAAUUUGUCAAUUUUGGUGUAAGUAUAUGAAAGCACUUAACACGAGGCCUGGCAUAUAGUAGGUAUCCAAGAGGUGACAGAGAGUGUUUGAGAAAUAUUUUGACAUAGUCAAAUCUUUCCCUAGGUUCCCUACCUCUAUUUGUGUGCUUCCACUGCUCCCUCAGGCUAAAGAAAUAGGGAAUAGCAACAUGGAUUCCACCUUUAUGAAGUUGCCAAUUGUGUGUGGCUUUAUGCUCAAGCAAGAAGUGUGUUCUGCUCCCACAUAUUUGAGAGCGAAUAUAUCUGGAUCUAGGGAUCUACUUGAAACUGCGUCGCAGCUGAAAAUGUUUCAGUGUACACUAGCAUGGCUGGUCACUUUGGGCAACUUUCUUGGUAGGGACCUAGCCUGAGAAUCUUAGUGGGGAAAUCUGAAUCUCUAGGGUAGUCAUGGUAUAGCCAAGGACAGCUUGUUGGGUGCAGGCAUGGAGGAAGGGAUAAGGUAAGGGGCAAAAAGGGCUCAUCUCUGUGUCAUUUUCUGCUCAAAGGAAGAUGUAGGCACUCAUGUACCAGGGGUAGUGUUCUGGCCUGCUGUAGCUUGUCACCUCCCUGUGAAUGAGUCAGUCUUGCUCCUGGCUGCCCUGUAAGGCAUUUGGGGUUUAGUAGGAGAUAUAAUAGGGAAUCUAGAUCAGAUAGCCUUGCUUCAAAUCUUACAGAUCUGCAUGGAGGAAAUAUGCCUCCCAGGAUGUUUCCCAUGUGCUGCAAUAAGAGGAAUCCCAUCCAGAUCUGUGGGGGUGUCCCUCCAUCCGUCUUAUGUCCACUCAGCUUAUCAUGAUCUUAAGCUUUUAUCCCUUUCACCCUGUCACUGUCCUGCCUUCUGGGAAGAGCAGGGAGGUGAGGGAGGAUGGGAAGAGUUAAAGAACUUGUGGUGUAUGUAGAUUUGCUGUCGUUAAAUCCUUUCUGGAACAAAGUGUAGAUGUGGAGAGGGGGAUGAGUGAGCAGGUAGGAGAACAAACACAUGCUGCCUGUACCACUUAUCUGGCACUCAGCCUGGACCCUUGCUUGGUAUUAUCAGUCUCUUUCUGUGUUGUUUCUCUUUCCCAUGUAAAGCAUAAGCAUGUAUACACAUGUAAUUUCAAAUCAAUGGACCCAUAACUUAAUACUGUUUUUUUAAAAAUAAAUUUAUUUAUUUUAUUUUUAUUUAUUUUUGGCUGCGUUGGGUCUUUGUUGCUGCACGCAGGCUUUCUCUAGUUGUGGCGAGCAGGGGCUGCUGUUUGUUGUGGUGCGUGGGCUUCUCAUUGCGGUGGCUCCUCUUGUUGCAGAGCACGGGCUCUAGGAGUGCAGGCUUCAGUAGUUAUGGUGUGCAGGCUCAGUAGUUGUGGUGCAGGGGCUUAGUUGCUCCGCAGCAUGUGGGAUCUUCCUGGACCAAGGCUCGAACCUGUGUCCCCUGCAUUGGCAGGCAGAUUCUUAACUGCUGCGCCACCAGGGAAGCCCUGGUUUUUUUCUUUAAUACUGUUUUGUAAUCUUUUUUCACCUUUUUUCCCAGCUUCAUUGAGAUAUAAUUGAUGUGAACAUUGUGUAAGUUUAAGGUGUACAGUGUGAUGAUUUGAUACAUAUAUGUAUUGUUAACUGAUUACCACAAUGUGGUUAACACAUCCAUAACCUCACAUAGUUACCUAUUUUUUGUGUGUAGUGAGAAUCCUUUUUCAUUGGAUUAUGUGUUAUAGACAUCUUUUCAGUAAAUACAGAAUUAAUGGCUGAAUUAUACUUCCAUAUGUGUAUAUACCAUAAUGCGUUUUAUUCUCUUAGUGUAUAAUCUGUUUACCUCAUCUCUAAUCAAUGAUGCCUUCCCCGACCCUCUUACUUAAAGUUGUGACAACCUUCCUUUCCUAUCUUCCUUCUCUCCUUUACUUUUCUUUAUAGCAUUUAGCCCCACAUGCCAUACUACAUAUUUUUCUUAUUUGUUUAUUGCCUAACACGCUUCAUUAGAAUGUAGGCUCCAUGAAAAUAGGGAUUUUUUUUUUCUUUUUACUCUGCUUCUCUGUAACUAGAGCUUAGUACCAGUUCCUGGUACCUAGGUGGUGCUCAAUAAAUAUUUGUUGAAUGAA